GUCCCUGCAGCACAAUGGGUAGUGUGUUGGACGUCUAAUCCAAAGGUCGUGGGCUCGAAUCCUACGUGGGAUG
rnacentral:tRNA from 1 species